rnacentral:rRNA from 1 species
GAUGAACGCUGGCGGCGUGCCUAAUACAUGCAAGUCGAGCGAACAGACGAGGAGCUUGCUCCUCUGACGUUAGCGGCGGACGGGUGAGUAACACGUGGAUAACCUACCUAUAAGACUGGGAUAACUUCGGGAAACCGGAGCUAAUACCGGAUAAUAUAUUGAACCGCAUGGUUCAAUAGUGAAAGACGGUUUUGCUGUCACUUAUAGAUGGAUCCGCGCCGCAUUAGCUAGUUGGUAAGGUAACGGCUUACCAAGGCAACGAUGCGUAGCCGACCUGAGAGGGUGAUCAGCCACACUGGAACUGAGACACGGUCCAGACUCCUACGGGAGGCAGCAGUAGGGAAUCUUCCGCAAUGGGCGAAAGCCUGACGGAGCAACACCGCGUGAGUGAUGAAGGUCUUCGGAUCGUAAAACUCUGUUAUUAGGGAAGAACAAAUGUGUAAGUAACUAUGCACGUCUUGACGGUACCUAAUCAGAAAGCCACGGCUAACUACGUG